CCUACGGGUGGCAGCAGUGAGGAAUAUUGGUCAAUGGCCGGAGGGCUGAACCAGCCAUGCCGCGUGAAGGUCAGUGCCCUAUGGGCGUUAAACUUCUUUUGUGCGGGAGCAAUAAUGGUCACGUGUGGCCAGACGAGAGUACCGUACGAAUAAGCAUCGGCUAACUCCGUGCCAGCAGCCGCGGUAAUACGGGGGAUGCAAGCGUUAUCCGGAUUUAUUGGGGUUAAGGGGUGCGUAGGCUGUGAGGUAAGUCAGCGGUGAAAUGCCCCCGCUCAACGGGGUGAAGUGCCAUUGAUACUGCCUUGCUGGAAUGCGGAUGCCGUAGGAGGAAUGUGUGGUGUAGCGGUGAAAUGCAUAGAUAGCACACAGAACACCGAUUGCGAAGGCAUCUCACGAAUCCGCGAUUGACGCUGAUGCACGAAAGCGUGGGUAUCAAACAGGAUUAGAUACCCGAGUAGUC
rnacentral:rRNA from 1 species